rnacentral:rRNA from 2 species
UCGCAAGAGAACCGGAACACAGGUGCUGCAUGGCUGUCGUCAGCUCGUGUCGUGAGAUGUUGGGUUAAGUCCCGCAACGAGCGCAACCCUUGUCAUUAGUUGCUACGAAAGGGCAACUCUAAUGAGACUGCCGGUGACAAACCGGAGGAAGGUGGGGAUGACGUCAAGUCCUCAUGGCCCUUAUGGGUAGGGCUUCACACGUCAUACAAUGGUCGGGACAGAGGGUCGCCAACCCGCAGGGGGAGCCAAUCCCAGAAACCCGAUCGUAGUCCGGAUUGCAGGCUGCAACUCGCCUGCAUGAAGUCGGAAUCGCUAGUAAUCGCGGAUCAGCAUGUCGCGGUGAAUACGUUCCCGGGUCUU